rnacentral:rRNA from 1 species
GGUUAACCGUAUAGGGGAGCCGAAGGGAAACCGAGUCUUAACUGGGCGUUAAGUUGCAGGGUAUAGACCCGAAACCCGGUGAUCUAGCCAUGGGCAGGUUGAAGGUUGGGUAACACUAACUGGAGGACCGAACCGACUAAUGUUGAAAAAUUAGCGGAUGACUUGUGGCUGGGGGUGAAAGGCCAAUCAAACCGGGAGAUAGCUGGUUCUCCCCGAAAGCUAUUUAGGUAGCGCCUCGUGAAUUCAUCUUCGGGGGUAGAGCACUGUUUCGGCUAGGGGGUCAUCCCGACUUACCAACCCGAUGCAAACUGCGAAUACCGAAGAAUGUUAUCACGGGAGACACACGGCGGGUGCUAACGUCCGUCGUGAAGAGGGAAACAACCCAGACCGCCAGCUAAGGUCCCAAAGUCAUGGUUAAGUGGGAAACGAUGUGGGAAGGCACAGACAGCCAGGAUGUUGGCUUAGAAGCAGCCAUCAUUUAAAGAAAGCGUAAUAGCUCACUGGUCGAGUCGGCCUGCGCGGAAGAUGUAACGGGGCUAAACCAUGCACCGAAGCUGCGGCAGCGACACUAUGUGUUGUUGGGUAGGGGAGCGUUCUGUAAGCCGUUGAAGGUGGCCUGUGAGGGUUGCUGGAGGUAUCAGAAGUGCGAAUGCUGACAUAAGUAACGAUAAUGCGGGUGAAAAACCCGCACGCCGGAAGACCAAGGGUUCCUGUCCAACGUUAAUCGGGGCAGGGUGAGUCGACCCCUAAGGCGAGGCCGAAAGGCGUAGUCGAUGGGAAACAGGUUAAUAUUCCUGUACUUGGUGUUACUGCGAAGGGGGGACGGAGAAGGCUAUGUUAGCCGGGCGACGGUUGUCCCGGUUUAAGCAUGUAGGCGGAGGUUCCAGGUAAAUCCGGUACCUUUUUAACGCUGAGGUGUGAUGACGAGGCACUACGGUGCUGAAGUAACAAAUGCCCUGCUUCCAGGAAAAGCCUCUAAGCAUCAGGUAACACGAAAUCGUACCCCAAACCGACACAGGUGGUCAGGUAGAGAAUACCAAGGCGCUUGAGAGAACUCGGGUGAAGGAACUAGGCAAAAUGGUGCCGUAACUUCGGGAGAAGGCACGCUGAUAUGUAGGUGAAGUGAUUUACUCAUGGAGCUGAAAUCAGUCGAAGAUACCAGCUGGCUGCAACUGUUUAUUAAAAACACAGCACUGUGCAAACACGAAAGUGGACGUAUACGGUGUGACGCCUGCCCGGUGCCGGAAGGUUAAUUGAUGGGGUUAUCCGUAAGGAGAAGCUCUUGAUCGAAGCCCCGGUAAACGGCGGCCGUAACUAUAACGGUCCUAAGGUAGCGAAAUUCCUUGUCGGGUAAGUUCCGACCUGCACGAAUGGCGUAAUGAUGGCCAGGCUGUCUCCACCCGAGACUCAGUGAAAUUGAACUCGCUGUGAAGAUGCAGUGUACCCGCGGCAAGACGGAAAGACCCCGUGAACCUUUACUAUAGCUUGACACUGAACACUGGUCCUUGAUGUGUAGGAUAGGUGGGAGGCUUUGAAGUGUGGACGCCAGUCUGCAUGGAGCCAUCCUUGAAAUACCACCCUUUAAUGGCUGGUGUUCUAACGUGGACCCGUAAUCCGGGUUGCGGACAGUGUCUGGUGGGUAGUUUGACUGGGGCGGUCUCCUCCUAAAGAGUAACGGAGGAGCACGAAGGUUAGCUAAUCCUGGUCGGACAUCAGGAGGUUAGUGCAAAGGCAUAAGCUAGCUUGACUGCGAGAGUGACGGCUCGAGCAGGUGCGAAAGCAGGUCUUAGUGAUCCGGUGGUUCUGAAUGGAAGGGCCAUCGCUCAACGGAUAAAAGGUACUCCGGGGAUAACAGGCUGAUACCGCCCAAGAGUUCAUAUCGACGGCGGUGUUUGGCACCUCGAUGUCGGCUCAUCACAUCCUGGGGCUGAAGUAGGUCCCAAGGGUAUGGCUGUUCGCCAUUUAAAGUGGUACGCGAGCUGGGUUUAGAACGUCGUGAGACAGUUCGGUCCCUAUCUGCCGUGGGCGCUGGAGAAUUGAGGGGGGCUGCUCCUAGUACGAGAGGACCGGAGUGGACGCAUCACUGGUGUUCGGGUUGUCAUGCCAAUGGCAUUGCCCGGUAGCUAAAUGCGGAAGAGAUAAGUGCUGAAAGCAUCUAAGCACGAAACUUGCCCCGAGAUGAGUUCUCCCUGAGACUNNNNNNNNNNNNNNNNNNNNNNNNNNNNNNNNNNNNNNNNNNNNNNNNNNUACUAAUGAACCGUGAGGCUUAACCUU